GAAUUCAACUCCUACGGGAGGCAGCAGUAGGGAAUAUUGGGCAAUGGACGAGAGUCUGACCCAGCCAUGCCGCGUGCAGGAAGAAGGCGUUCUGCGUUGUAAACUGCUUUUAUCUGGGAAGAAAAGGCCCAUGCGUGGGACAUUGCCGGUACCAGAUGAAUAAGCACCGGCUAACUCCGUGCCAGCAGCCGCGGUAAUACGGAGGGUGCAAGCGUUGUCCGGAUUUAUUGGGUUUAAAGGGUGCGUAGGCGGCUAUUUAAGUCAGCGGUGAAAGACUCCGGCUCAACCGGAGCAGUGCCAUUGAUACUGGAUAGCUUGAGUGUUGGAGGGGUACAUGGAAUUGAUGGUGUAGCGGUGAAAUGCAUAGAUACCAUCAGGAACACCGAUAGCGAAGGCAUUGUACUGGCCAACAACUGACGCUGAGGCACGAAAGCAUGGGGAGCGAACAGGAUUAGAAACCCUAGUAGUCCAGGCGUU
rnacentral:rRNA from 1 species